AUUGAACGCUGGCGGCAGGCCUAACACAUGCAAGUCGAACGAGUGGCGGAAGGGUGAGUAAUGUCUGGGAAACUGCCUGAUGGAGGGGGAUAACUACUGGAAACGGUAGCUAAUACCGCAUACCAUCAGAUGUGCCCAGAUGGGAUUAGCUUGUUGGGGGGGUAACGGCGCACCAAGGCGACGAUCCAUAGCUGGUCUGAGAGGAUGACCAGCCACACUGGAACUGAGACACGGUCCAGACUCCUACGGGAGGCAGCAGUGGGGAAGAUUGCACAAUGGGCGCAAGCCUUAUGCAGCCAUGCCGCGUGGAUGAAGAAGUCCUUCGGGUUGGAAAGUACUUUCAGCUGGGAGGCGUUACCCGCAGAAGAAGCACCGGCUAACUCCGUGCCAGCAGCCGCGGUAAUAC
rnacentral:rRNA from 1 species